CCUACGGGAGGCAGCAGUAAGGAAUAUUGGUCAAUGGACGAAAGUCUGAACCAGCCAUGCCGCGUGAAGGAUGAAGGUCCUCUGGAUUGUAAACUUCUUUUAUAUGGGGCGAAAAUCACCCUUUCUAGGGUGCUUGACAGUACCAGAAGAAUAAGCACCGGCUAACUCCGUGCCAGCAGCCGCGGUAAUACGGAGGGUGCAAGCGUUAUCCGGAUUUACUGGGUAUAAAGGGUGCGUAGGCGGGCAGGUAAGUCAGUGGUGAAAUCCCCGAGCUUAACUCGGGAACUGCCGUUGAUACUAUCUGUCUUGAAUAUCGUGGAGGUAAGCGGAAUAUGUCAUGUAGCGGUGAAAUGCUUAGAUAUGACAUAGAACACCAAUUGCGAAGGCAGCUUGCUACACGGUCAUUGACGCUGAGGCACGAGAGCGUGGGGAUCAAACAGGAUUAGAUACCCUGGUAGUCCACGCCCUAAACGAUGAUUACUCGACAUCAGCGAUACACUGUUGGUGUCUAAGCUAACGCAUUAAGUAAUCCACCUGGGAAGUACGAUCGCAAGAUUGAAACUCAAAGGAAUUGACGG
rnacentral:rRNA from 1 species